UUUUCAUGGCAGAUGAGAGGGUUUGUUCCCUGCACCUUUGGUUCAGGGAACAGGUUGAGGGGGUGAGGGAUGAACUGUCAACUGAUCACCAAUCAGCAGUGAGUUGGAUCAGGUGGAUGCUGGACAGACGUAGGAUGCCUAAAUGUAUUGUGAAGGUAUGCUAGGAAUGCUCCUCGCUCCGCUCCUGUAACACACUCCUCUCCAAAACCUGCUAAGACAAGACGGGAAGGUCAGUGGCCUAUUCAUGAAAUGCAUGAAAGCAAUAUUUCUGGUCAGACCCCGGGCUUCACUAACUCAAUAACUCAGCAAUCCAGUGUCGACUGAAACUCAUCCACCCAGUUAAGUAGUGGCCACUGACAAAGGUGAUCAGCGGCAGCUGGUGAAGUAGAUGGGCGACAGGUGUGGCUGGCUUCAGCACGGGAAACUCCUCUGGCCUGAUGACGCCCACAAACUGGCAUGGUGGAACACACACAAACACACAGGAGAGGAGGCGGGGGGAGGGAAGUCAGAAACAAAACACAAAGAAAAACAUACACAUGGGCAGGUCGACCAGCAGAAACUGCCAGACCAUGACAUCUCAGCAAAAAUGGAGUCCAUAGACUUUAUAUAAGUGCAAGAAAAUUGUAGUAAUGUAAGGCUUGUGUAUUUUUUUUUAAAGAAAAUGAAAAAACAAAAAACAAAAACAGAAACUAAAAAAACUAGAAAAUAGAGGCAACACCCAGACUAUAGUGACACGUCUGCACUGAUACAUUUAGCUAACCUCAGUACUCACACUUUGAAUUUCUUUGAACACACAAAAGUUUAGACGCUUCUUGAGGGGUUUAGAAAAAAAUGAAUCAAUAGAAGAUAAAAAUAAUGUUCACAGAAGCUAUCAAAUUCCAAUGAUUUUCUUUCUUUUGAUCAUUAUUGUUUCUCUUGGCAUUAUUUCAAUUUAGAAUGUAAUAUAUUACCUUUUUACUACACUAGGGUUCCAAAUGCAGGACUUAAUGCAAAGGAUCAGAUAGCAUAUAAAUUCAUUAAUUGCCACAAAACUAAAAUCAAAAUAUAGAAAAAUGUAGAAAUUGCAUGCAUAAUCAUCAGUGAUCUGACGUCAAACGUUC
ensembl:lncRNA